rnacentral:rRNA from 1 species
AUGAAUAUAUUCAGCUGGAAUUGCCGGGGGGGGGGACUCCGGACAGUUCGUGAUCUUGCGAGCUUGGUGCAAGCUCAUCCCCUUGUAUCGUUUUUAUGUGAAACUAGGCAGUCAAAAGAUAGGAUGAAGAGGUAUCGAUCCAGGCUAGGUUUAAGUGGUUUUGAUGCUAUAGACAGUAAUGGUCUUAGUGGUGGUCUUGCUCUAUAUUGGCACGAA